GUGCUUGCUUCGGCAGCACACAUACUCAGACUGGAACUAUACAGAGGAGAUUAGCAUGGCCCCUGGGCAAGGAUGACACGCGAAUUCAUGAAGCAUUCCAUAUUUUG
ensembl:snRNA U6 U6 spliceosomal RNA